rnacentral:rRNA from 1 species
UCCUACGGGAGGCAGCAGUAGGGAAUCUUCCGCAAUGGGCGAAAGCCUGACGGAGCAACGCCGCGUGAGUGAUGAAGGUCUUCGGAUCGUAAAGCUCUGUUGUUAGGGAAGAACAAAUGUGUAAGUAACUGUGCACAUCUUGACGGUACCUAACCAGAGAGCCACGGCUAACUACGUGCCAGCAGCCGCGGUAAUAC